GACGAACGCUGGCGGCGUGCCUAAUACAUGCAAGUCGAGCGGGGAUUAUGCGUGAUCGCUUCGGUGAGACGGCAUAUAUCCUAGCGGCGGACGGGUGAGUAACGCGUGGGUAAUCUACCUCGUAGUUCGGGAUAACAGGCCGAAAGGCUUGCUAAUACCGGAUGAGUUCAUGCUUAUGCAUAUAGGCAUGAAGAAAGGGCUAGCCCGCUAUGAGAUGAGCCCGCGUCCCAUUAGCUUGUUGGUGGGGUAAUGGCCUACCAAGGCAACGAUGGGUAGCCGGCCUGAGAGGGUGUACGGCCACACUGGGACUGAGACACGGCCCAGACUCCUACGGGGGGCAGCAGUAGGGAAUUUUCGGCAAUGGGCGAAAGCCUGACCGAGCGACGCCGCGUGAGGGACGAAGGCCUUCGGUUGUAAACCUCUGUCUGGGGGAUGAGAACGGACGGUACCCCCGGAGGAAGCCCGGCUAACUACGUGCCAGCAGCCGCGGUAAAGUCACGUCG
rnacentral:rRNA from 1 species